rnacentral:rRNA from 1 species
GAUGUUAAAGAUUUAUCGCUGAAAGAUGGGCUCGCGUCUGAUUAGAUAGUUGGCGGGGUAACGGCCCACCAAGUCGACGAUCAGUAGCCGGACUGAGAGGUUGAACAGCCACAUUGGGACUGAGAUACGGCCCAGACUCCUACGGGAGGCAGCAGUGGGGAAUAUUGGGCAAUGGGGGAAACCCUGACCCAGCAACGCCGCGUGAAGGAAGAAGGCUUUCGGGUUGUAAACUUCUUUUACCAGGGACGAAGGACGUGACGGUACCUGGAGAAAAAGCCACGGCUAACUACGUGCCAGCAGCCGCGGUAAUACGUAGGUGGCAAGCGUUGUCCGGAAUUACUGGGUGUAAAGGGCGUGUAGGCGGAGCGGCAAGUCAGAAGUGAAAUCUCCGGGCUUAACCCGGAAACUGCUUUUGAAACUGUCGCCCUUGAGUAUCGGAGAGGCAGGCGGAAUUCCUAGUGUAGCGGUGAAAUGCGUAGAUAUUAGGAGGAACACCAGUGGCGAAGGCGGCCUGCUGGACGACAACUGACGCUGAGGCGCGAAAGCGUGGGGAGCAAACAGGAUUAGAUACCCUGGUAGU